GGAGCUGCUGUCGGAACAGGCUGUAAAACAGCGGUUAUGCAGGCUGCCUCUCUGCCCGAUUGACCUUAUGAAAUGCAAAAUCCUUCCUUCCCCACAAUUUCUCAUUUUGAUAAGUAGUCUCUAGAUCAGACCUGAAAUGGCCAGAGUCAAGCCUCUGUUCUGGGACUCUAGAUCUCUCACUGAACAUGGAGCUUACCAAUUUGACUAGACAUGCUGACCAAUGUGUCCCAGAUGGUUGCUUGUCGACUCCCUCAGCGUCAGUAGCAAGUAUUUUAUUGACGGCCAUUUACUGACUGUCUCCGCCGACCAGGAUCCUCUCCAUGCGCUGACGUCAAACAUUGUUCUUCUGUCCAUCUUCCCUAAUAAGUUGGACUCUUUGAAGUCCCUCUUGCAAGAACCUAGCACGGCUGUCCUCUGAGAGGCUCUACCUAGAAGCUGAGUGAGACAGAUGCAGAUACUCACAGCUAAGUAUUGAUCUGAGGUCAGGGACCCCUACGGAAGAGUUAGGGGAAGGUUGGAAGGAGCUGAAGGGGAUGGCAACCCCAUAGGAAGACCAACAAGACCAACAGUGUAACUAACCCAGACCACUGGGAGCUUCCUAAAACUGAGUCACCAAUCAAAGAGCACACACGGAGUGGUCCAAGCCACCCCCUCUUCCUGACACAUAUGUUUCAGAGAGCUGCCUUGUCUGGCCUCAGUGGGAGAGGAUGUGCCUAAUCCUGUAGAGAGUUGAUGCUUCAGAGUGUUGGAAUUCCUGGUUGGGGGCAGCCUCUCAGAAGCAAAGGGGAGGAGGACAUUUGGGAUGUAAAUAAAGAAAUAAUUAAUAAUAAUAUAUAAAAAUCCUUACAAAAGUUUGAUUCCUAUAAUGGAUCAAUAUGGAGCUUCUACACAGUAUGAAGUAAAUGCCUAUGUAUUAAAGCUGAGAGGUCUUUUAUCAGGUAAGAAGAAGAAUUGUCAGACGGUGAGUAGUAUAUAAUUCUACAACUAACAGACAGGGAUGGGAGAGAAUGCAAUUAUUUCUUACACAACACUACAAUGGGAUAAAUGUAUCUACAGCUUUACAUCAGAUGGUGAGGAGGAGUUUUAUGUGAGUUCAGUCUUUCCACAGGGAUCUUCCUGGCGGCUGGUGUCAAAUCACAAGGAAAGUCCUUCUCUUGGAGGUGCUAACUGCAAUAGACCCGGGUCAGUAGGUAGCGAUUCGGAAUUUUAUAUUUUUGACCCAAUGACCUCUGUCAGUGGGAAAGAGAUCCAACACUGGGCAGGAUACACAUUAUGUAACUGAUCCGGGGGACUAAUUGGGUCUCGCUGGAUCUAAUGAACAGCCUGGCAGAAGGGAGACCUGAGCUGUGCUUUGCCAGUUGGGCUGAUGAGGGGUGAGAGAAUUCUUCAGGUAAAGUUGACAGAAUAUGAACUGUGUCCUCAGACAAAGCUCUGUGGGUGCUUUUGUUAGCACAAAGACUUUUUAUAAGGGAGAAAUGUGGGCAAAGUCACAAAGACACGCCUACACACAUAAUGGAAGCCUGUUCUAUAGCUAUGCCACAGAAACUUGCUAAAAGAUGGCCGUGAAGAAUCCCUUAAAGAAGCGACUCCCUGAGCUGGAUUAGACUCAGGAAAGGGUCUUGAAAUCACAUUGGCAAGGUCCACAGGUCUGAAUAAGAAGAAAAGGAAUCCCCCCUAUUGGACUCCAACCCAGCAGGCUUGGAGUUACUACACACACAGGGAGACCGUAAGGGACGUCUCCUGCACUCGCGUGUCACUCUAAUGAGCUGUUUUAAUGAACUUCGCUGUCACUCAGCGCCUCUCAUUGUCAUAAAUUUUCCACAGAGCAAGGAGCGCGGUCAGCUGACCGUCUUAUUCAUCGGGUGACGGUGUUGUUAGCUUUCCACCUUCAUAAUGAAAUUCUCCAGUCAGCUGCGAAUGAGCAGGAAGCCAGCUGCUAUAUUUAGCAAAGGCAAGAGAGACAAGUCUCAGGGCCCCGGGGAGAAGGAAACAGAAGCCUGGGUUUCGGUUAGCUCAGCCCGCAGCAUCGCUUACGGAUUUCCAGAGUUCGUCGUCGCUGGCCGAAGCAGAGGGUUUUGUUUGUUGUUUGUUUAUCACAGAAAGCGAAGCCCAAUAAAUCAAUGCUGAGGAUAACCUUGUGUGUAUUUGGUACCAGCUUUCUGGAAGAUGUCAACUCCUUUACCUCUAAAGUCACUUCAUUUCUAUGACUUCCAGACACGGCAACCAGGGUCAGCGUUUUUUGAGUUGUGGUCCACAAGACUUAAUGAGGUUGACAAUUUGACAUUUCAACUUAAAAGGAUGACCCUCUAGAUCAAGUAGAAAUAUGAACUUACAUAUUAGUCAUUCAAACAUUUCAAGUUAUCGUCCCUUCCACAAGGCCACCUCCCUUCCUUCACCCUAGACUUUCCAGCUCAGGGAGGAGCAGGUAUGAUCUAUCUCAAGUGGGUGAGUAUAGCACCCAGAUUCCUAACCACACCCCACUUUUGGCUCGUGUUUUUGUCAACUUGCUCCCCUAGAUUCGAAAUUUAAGAAGACUAUUGUACCGUCAAAGUGCUCAGUUGCGGGAACAGAGAAGACAUGUGACUUCUUCCUACAGCUCUCUUUUGCUGACUAAAGCACCUGGCUCUCUGCACACUCUCAACCUCUCUCUCUCUCUCAGACUCACUGACAAGAGCUUGAACUCACACACAUUUCCUCGUUACUUGUAUUUUUUUUCCCCUGCUGAGUGUCCAUAGUAAAUGACUAAAUUGAAAACCAAACCAAA